AGUGAACGCUGGCGGUAGGCCUAACACAUGCAAGUCGAACGGCAGCACAGGAGAGCUUGCUCUCUGGGUGGCGAGUGGCGGACGGGUGAGGAAUACAUCGGAAUCUACUCUGUCGUGGGGGAUAACGUAGGGAAACUUACGCUAAUACCGCAUACGACCUACGGGUGAAAGCCGGGGACCUUCGGGCCUUGCGCGAUUGAAUGAGCCGAUGUCGGGUUAGCUAGUUGGGGGGGUAAAGGCCAACCAAGGCGACGAUCCGUAGCUGGUCUGAGAGGAUGAUCAGCCACACUGGAACUGAGACACGGUCCAGACUCCUACGGGAGGCAGCAGCGGGGAAUAUUGGACAAUGGGCGCAAGCCUGAUCCAGCCAUACCGCGUGGGUGAAGAAGGCCUUCGGGUUGUAAAGCCCUUUUGUUGGGAAAGAAAUCCAGCUGGCUAAUACCCGGUUGGGAUGACGGUACCCAAAGAAUAAGCACCGGCUAACUUCGUGCCAGCAGCCGCCGUAA
rnacentral:rRNA from 1 species